CCGCAGCACCAGACGCUCUCCGGCGACCAUUCAGCCGUCACCAUCUGGCUCGACAAGACCUGCGGUAUGUGCAUUUUUUUUUCAUUGCGCAUCUUUGGAAAGACUACCAAUUGGCGAUGACCAGGUCAUCUAUAUAUGAGUAUAUUGACUUAGGAGUCAAAGGAGAACAUUUGAUCAUAGUUCAUACUCAUCGUUUAAGCUCAAGUGGGGUUACCCCUUUUACAUAAUGCAUUGAUGUGUUCACAUCAUUAGAGUUUCUUUAACUCAAUUAUUAGAGUAAAGCUCCCCCUAGAUGUGAGAUCCCCCCUUAGAGGGAUGAACUAACCUUGGGUUUUGUCGAUGAUGACUUCAUGUAGGUGUUGAAGAUGUGGAUGCUCAAUGUUGAUGUAGAUCAUUUGGAGCAAUCCUUUGGAGUGAGUUGCACUUUCAAUACCUACACAGGUUAGUCCCACAAGGAACAAACAAGGAUAUCCAUAGACAUAGAGUGAUGCACACACAAAAUGAUGUCUAUGAAAGCAUUAGGUUACCUUGUCCCUUGUCUUACCAACAAGAGGGUUUGUGACUCCAUGAACUAGUGCAAGAUGUGGAAGUUGAUUGCACUUGUUCUUGCCAAAAUGAUAUGUGUGAAGUAUGUUGGCAGAGUCACCCUCAAGAACUCUCUAGUUCUUCUUCGGGAUCCACACCAUCUUGAUGGGAAUCCUUGGAGUUGUAGUCGUACUUGAUGAAGUAGAACUUGACAUAGUCUUGGUAACCCACUUGACCAAGGCCUUGGGAGCUUCUUCAAAUGCAUCAAUCUCCUCUUGAAGCUCAUCCUUGCCUUUUUGCUUGUGGUCUUGUGGUGGAAGAUCAUACUUCUCUUGUUGAGGAACAAACUUCGUCUUGGGGUAUUGAUCUUCUUCCCACUCAACUCCAUUGGCAUUGAACUUUCGUUCAAAACCAACACCUUGGUUCUUCCGGUGCCUUCCUUGCUUGCGUACAAUUUCCUAGAAUUGCUUACUUCCGGCAAUGCUCUUGUAAACACCUUUCUCUAUAAUUCCCUUCAACAAGCUAUUUUCUUGCUCAAGUGUAACUUGGCUAAGAGAAUCAUUAGUGGAAUCAAGAGAACUACUAGAAGCAACAACAUUGGAUUUAACAUGAUUAUUGUUACUACUAGAGGAAGAAUCCUUCUUGUUCUUGUUACUAGACUUGACUUGAGGCAUGUAAGUAUAUAAGAGUAAACGCUUGGCAAUGUAAGAAGAACUUUUCUUGCGAAGAUCAUCAUUGAUUGCCUUUAAGAACUCAUGCUCUUGCUCAAGGUUGAGAUUUUCAAAGCGUAACUUCUCAUGAGUCCUUAAAAGUUCUCGAUGAUCCCCUAAGAUAGUUUCAUGAGCUAACUUAAGAGUGUUUAGUUCUUUAGUUAGGAGCUCAAUCUUCUCCUUAUCAUCGUCAUUCGUUUUAUCUUGAUUAGCAUGAUUAAUUCACGUUUCAUCAUAGUAUUCAUCACUAGAGUUGUCAACAAGUAAAUCAUCAUCACCUAGCAAGUCAUCUUCAUCACUAUUGAAAUCAACAUAUUCGGGGUAUGUUGCCUUUGGGCCUUUAGCCAUGAAGCAUCUUCCAAGUCCUUCAUUUGGUGAAUCAAAUAUGUCGUAGGAGUUGGUUGACACAAGUGCUAGACCAGCAACACCUUCAUCUUGAGUAUGUUCGGAGUCGGAGUGAUAGCUUCUCUCGGAGUGAUGGUCGGAGUCAGAGUCGGAUACCCAUUCACCAACAUGAGCUUGAUGUCUUUGUUUUGUGUAGCUCCUUGAUGACUUGUCCUUCCUUUCCGAAUCCUUGCUUCUCCGAGAUGUUCUUCGUUCAUAACGAUCAUCUCUACUCCUUCUCUCUCUUGGUGGUGAUUCUUCUCUUCUACUUCUCCUUUUAGGUGAUUCUUCUCUUCUUUUGUAGGGAGCCGUACACUCAUUGGAAUAGUGUCCAGGUCUUCCACAGUUAUAGCAAUUUCGCUCUCGACUAGAAGAUCUUUUAUCAUUGUAGGACCUUGACUUAGAACUUCUUUCCUUGCUUCUACUCUUGUAGAACUUGUUGAAGUUCUUCACCAUUAUGCUCAAUUCUUCACUGAAGGUUUAUUUCUCACUUGAUGAUGUGGGAGCUUCACAUGAGGCUUUGUAAGCACCACUUGACUUGUUGUGCAGCUCCUUCUUAUCUUUGAGUGACAUCUCAUGAGCAACAAUUCUUCCAAUGACCUCCGUUGGCUUGAGAUUCUAUAAUUGGGCAUCAUUUGGAUCAAUGUGCACACAGUAUCAUAUUUUCCAUCCAAUGCUCUUAGGAUCUUCUUGAUGAUGAAUUUGUCGGUCAUCUCUUCACUUCCUAACCCGGAAUCUCAUUUGUAAUGACAGAAAGCCUAGAGUACAUUUCAGCGACGCCUUCACCAUCCUUCAUCUUGAACUUGUCAAGUUGACUUUGAAGCACAUCCAACUUGGAUUCCUUGACGGAGUCGGUACCUUCGUGCAUAUCAAUCAAAGUAUCCCAAAUUUCCUUUGCAUUCUCAAGACGGCUGAUUUUGUUGAAUUUUUUGGGGUACAAUCCGUUGAAGAGGAUAUCACAAGCUUGAGCGUUGUAUUGCAGCAUCUUCAAUUCAUCCGCACUAGCUUCACGGUUCGGUUCUCUCCCAUCAAAGAAUUCACCUUGCAAGCCAAUACACACAAUAGCCCAAACGGCGGGGUUAUGUCCAAGGAUAUGCAUUUUCAUCUUAUGUUUCCAACUAGCAAAAUUAGUACCAUCAAAGUAAGGACCUCUACGGUGGUAGUUUCCCUCGCUAGACGCCAUAUUCUCCUAGGUUGUGAAAACAAGGCUAUGACCACCAAAAGUUGUGGAAAUCAAAGCAAAUGGAGACCAAAGCUCUGAUACCACUUGUAGGAUCGGAAGUAUGUCUAGAGGGGGGGGAUUAGACUACUUGACCAAAUAAAAACUUAACCUUUUCCUAAUUUUAGUCUUUGGCAGAUUUUAGCAAACUUAGCACAAGUCAAGCAAUCUUAACACAAUUCAAGCAAGCAUGCAAAAUAGUAUAUGAGCAUCGGAAAGUAAAGCAUGCAACUAGCAAUAAUGUAAAGGGAAGGGUUUGGAGAAUUCAAACGCAAUUUGGAGACACGGUGAUUUUUGAGCCGUGGUUCCGAUAGGUGGUGCUAUCAUACAUCCACGUUGAUGGAGACUUCAACCCACGAAGGAUAACGAUUGCGCGAGUCCACGGAGGGCUCCACCCAAGAAGGGUCCACGAAGAAGCAACCUUGUCUAUCCCACCAUGUCCGUCGCCCACGAAGGACUUGCCUCACUAGCGGUAGAUCUUCACGAAGUAGGCGAUCUCCUUGCCCUUACAAACUCCUUGGUUCAACUCCACAAUCUUGUCGGAGGCUCCCAAGUGACACCUAGCCAAUCUAGGAGACACCACUCUCCAAGAAGUAAUAAAUGGUGUGUUGAUGAUGAACUCCUUGCUCUUGUGCUUCAAAUGAUAGUCUCCCCAACACUCAACUCUCUCUCUCAGAGGAUUUGGAUUUGGUGGAAAGAAGAUUUGCGUGGAAAGGAACUUGGGGAAGGCUAGAGAUCAAGAUUCAUAUGGUAGGAAUGGGAUAUCUUGGUCUCAACACAUGAGUAGGUGGUUCUCUCUCAGAAAAUGUAAGUUGGAAGUGUAGGUUCGUUCUGAUGGCUCUCUCCACGAAUGAAGAGGAGGUGGAGGGGUAUAUACAGCCUCCACACAAAAACUAACCGUUACACACAACUUGCCAAUCUCGAUGGGACCGAAUUGAGAAACUCGGUCGAAACAAUUCAGCAAAUCUAGUGACCGUUAGGAUUUUCGGUGGGACCGACAUGCAACUCGGUAGGACCGAUAUGAUUAGGGUUAGGGCAUAACAUAAUCUCGGUGAGACCGAUUACACAAACUCAGUGGGACCGAUUUUGGUAAUAAUCUAACCAGAGAGUUGGUCAGGUAAACUCGGUGGGACCGGUUCGCUCAUUUCGGUGGGACCGAAAUGUUACGAAAGGGAAACAGAGAGUUUACAUUGCAAUCUCAGUGGGACCGAUCGCUCAUCUCGGUGGUGCCGAAACGUUAUGAAGGGAAACAGAGAGAUUACAAUCCCAUCUCGGUGAGACCGAGAUCCCUAUCAGUGAGACCGAUUUGCCUAGGGUGUGUGGCAGUGGCUAUGACAUCUGAACUCGACGGCGCCGGAUAGAUAGAAUCGGUGGGGCCGAGUUUGACUUUAGGUUUAGAUCAUAUGUGGAUGUGGGAAAGUAGUUGAGGGUUUUGGAGCAUAUCACUAAGCACUAUGAAGCAAGGACCUCAUUAAGCAACACCUCAUCCCUCCUUGAUAGUAUUGGCUUUUCUAUAGACUCAAUGUGAUCUUGGAUCACUAAAAUAUAAAAUGUAGAGUCUUGAGCUUUGAGCUUGAGCAAAUCCUUUUAUCCUUAGUAUUUUGAGGGGUCCACUUUUCUCAUCCAUGCCAUGCCAAUCAUUGAGCUUUUCCUGAAAUAUUUAUCUUGGAAUAAUGUUAGCUCAAUGAGCUAUAUGUUGUUAGGAAUUACCAAAACCACCUAGGGAUAGUUGCACUUUAAUCGCCCACAAGUCUUUGUGUUCUACUCGUGCAUAUAACAUCUACGCAUAGACCUGGCUCGGAUGCCACUAUUGGGGAACGCAGUAAUUUCAAAAAAAAAUCCUACGGUCACACAAGAUCUAUCUAGGUGAUGCAUAGCAAUGAGAGGGGAGAGUAUGUCCAUGUACCCUCAUAGACCGAAAGCGGAAGCGUUAGUUAACGCGGUUGAUGUAGUCGAACGUCUUUGUGAUCCAACCGAUCCAAGUAUCGAACGUACGGCGCCUCCGCGUUGAGCACACGUUCAGCUCAAUGACGUCCCUCGUACUCUUGAUCCAGUUGAGGUUGAGGGAGAGUUUCGUCAGUACGACGGCGUGGCGACGGUGAUGAUGAAGUUACCGGCGCAGGGCUUCGUCUAAGCACUACGACGAUAUGACCGAGGUGUAUAACUAUGGAGGAGGGCACCGCACACGCUAAAAGAUCAACUUCUGUGUUCUAGGGUGCCCCCCUACCCCUGUAUGUAAAUGAGCAAGAGGGAGGUCGGACGGCCCUCCUAGGGCGCGCCCCACAAGGGGAGUCCUACUAGGACUACUAGUCCUAGUAGGAUUCCGCCAAGAGGGAGAGAGGGGGAAGGAAGGAGAGGGAGAGGGAGAAGGAAAGGGCCCCCCCUUCCCUAAUCCAAUUCGAACCCAAGGGGGAGGGGACACACGGCCUUCCCUGGCCGCCCCUCUCUCUCUCCACCAAGGCCCAUGUGUCCCAUUAGUUCCCCAGGGGGGUUCUGGUAACCCUCCGGCACCCCGGUUUUAUCCGAAACUUCUCCGGAACACUUCCGGUGUUCGAACAUAGCGGUCUAGUAUAUCAAUCUUUAUGUCUCGACCAUUUCGAGACUCCUCGUCAUGUCCAUGAUCUCAUCCGGAACUCCGAACAAACCUCGGUCAUCAAAACACAUAACUCAUAAUACAAAUCGUCAUCGAACGUUAAGCGUGCGGACCCUACAGGUUCGAGAAAUAUGUAGACAUGACCGUGACACAUCUCCGGUCAAUAACCAAUAGCGGAACCUGGAUGCUCAUAUUGGCUCCUACACAUUCUACGAAGAUCUUUAUCGGUCAAACCGCAUAACAACAUAUGUUUUUCCCUUUGUCAUCGGUAUGUUACUUGCCCGAGAUUCGAUCGUCGGUAUCAUCAUACCUAGUUCAAUCUCGUUGCCGGCAAGUCUCUUUACUCGUUCCGUAAUACUUCAUCCCGCAACUAACUCAUUAGUCACAUUGCUUGCAAGGCUUAUAGUGAUGAGCAUUACCGAGAGGGCCCAAAGAUACCUCUCCGAAACACGGAGUGACAAAUCCUAAUCUCGAUCUAUGCCAACCCAACAAACACCUUCGAAUACACCUGUAGAGCACCUUUAAAAUCACCCUUUUACAUUGUGACGUUUGGUAGCACAUAAAGUGUUCCUCCGGUAUUCGGGAGUUGCAUAAUCUCAUAGUCUGAGGAACAUGUAUAAGUCAUGAAGAAAGCAGUAGCAAUGAAACUGUAACGAUCAUAAUGCUAAGCUAACGGAUGGGUCAUGUCCAUCACAUCAUUUUCCUAAUGAUGUGAUCUCGUGCAUCAAAUGACAACACAUGUCUAUGGUUGGGAAACAUAACCAUCUUUGAUUAACGAGCUAGUCUAGUAGAGGCAUACUAGGGACAAUAUGUUUUGUUUAUGUAUUCAUACAUGUACUAAGUUUUCGGUUAAUACAAUUCGGAGGUCUAGACCACGCCGUGGAAAUUUGAUGCACGGUGUUGCAUGUCAAAAAGUGUUUGAACCGCGUUGUUCCGGCUUUUACGGCGUUUUGAUGCAUGGCGUUGGAGUUGCCCUUAGAAAGCACUUUGGCUCUAGGUACUGGCACUUGCCAAAUGCAGCAUCCUUUGGAGCAGGUCAGGUGAAAUUAAGGUGAGAAGACGUGGUGGGUACAUUCACCUUCCAUGGAUCGACCUGCAUUCGCAUUUAUCAUUUACUCACACUGCCUCAUCACUACCCAACUCCCUCUUGCGUGAGUGGGCCAAUCUGGUCACUUGCUUUCUCUGUCGCCCUCCUAUAUAUUGUCUCCACACGGACAUACACUCUCACCAAAGCAGCUCGCUUGGCUACCAAGUGUACUCUCGAUCUCCUCUCAUUGGGAGGGAGCAUUUAGUCUAGCUCCUAGUCCUAGCUAGCUUGGCGGAGCAACAAUGGCCAGCCUCUCCAUGCUCCCGGCCAUGGCGCUGCUGCUCCUGGCAAUGGCGGUGCCCUCAUCCGACGCGCAGCCUUCUCCCGGCUACUACCCGAGCUCGAGGUUCCGGCCAAUGGCGUUCAACCGCGGGUACCGCAACAAGUGGGGCCCGCAGCACCAGACGCUCUCCGGCGACCAUUCAGCCGUCACCAUCUGGCUCGACAAGACCUGCGGUAUGUGCAUUUUUUUUUCUUUGCGCAUCUCUGGAAAGACUACCAAUUGUUUUUUAAUUCUAGUUUAGGUGCAUGCAUAUGCAUGUACUCCUAUAUACUUGGCUCUUGUUUUUUGUCAACAGUGUCACCGACGCACGUACU
rnacentral:lncRNA from 1 species